AGUGAACGCUGGCGGUAGGCCUAACACAUGCAAGUCGAACGGCAGCACAGGAGAGCUUGCUCUCUGGGUGGCGAGUGGCGGACGGGUGAGGAAUACAUCGGGAUCUACUCUGUCGUGGGGGAUAACGUAGGGAAACUUACGCUAAUACCGCAUACGACCUACGGGUGAAAGCAGGGGACCCUCGGGCCUUGCGCGAUUGAAUGAGCCGAUGUCGGAUUAGCUAGUUGGCGGGGUAAAGGCCCACCAAGGCGACGAUCCGUAGCUGGUCUGAGAGGAUGCUCAGCCACACUGGAACUGAGACACGGUCCAGACUCCUACGGGAGGCAGCAGUGGGGAAUAUUGGACAAUGGGCGCAAGCCUGAUCCGGCCAUACCGCGUGGGUGAAGAAGGCCUUCGGGUUGUAAAGCCCUUUUGUUGGGAAAGAAAUCCAGCUGGCUAAUACCCGGUUGGGAUGACGGUACCCAAAGAAUAAGCACCGGCUAACUUCGUGCCAGCAGCCGCCGUAA
rnacentral:rRNA from 1 species